GUGGCAUAUAGCCGAUUUUCUCGUCCCAGAUAUUACUCCUCUUCUUCCCCGUCGCCUCUUCUCUCACUCUCGGCGUUCAGCGGCAGCCGUGCUCGUCGACGUCCCCCCCAACCUGACGACUCCCCCGCGCCGUGGUUCCGGAUUGGGCGCAGAUCCUCGCCCUGGGACACGCUGGGGGUGGAGCAGCAGGGGAGGGUCAGGAGGUCGGCCGUCGGCGGUGGGGGAAGGAGUAGCGAGGCCGGAGCUGCAGGAGGGACAGGCGUCGCGGGGUGGAGGAGAAGCCAGCGACGGGGGAAAGGCUGAGCUCCAGGCGGCGCUCCCAUCUCGAUAGGGUGGAGCUGCAGAGUAAGGGUUGGAGCAGGCUGGGGAGGAGGCCGGAACUAGAGAGGAAGACGGCUCGUCCGGGCUGCCGACGCUCCCCACCCGCCACUUCCACCGGGCGCUGGCUUCUUCUUCCUUCCUCUGCUUCGGAAUGAAACAGACCAGCAACUCCCGGCCUCCUCUGGACCUCGCCUCCUAGUAGAUUCAUCUGUGGAAUUGAGAAAGUUCACUAUGUAGAUUCAUCUCAUUAUUUUGCGAGAAAGUUUGUCUGUAGAAUUAAGAAGCAGCUGCAGAUUAAAUAGUUGGUUCCACUUUCUCGUUCUUCUAUAUGUGGGUGUACUUAGCUGAGGUGAGGAAAUAAGAAGUUCAGAUUUCACUGAGGCUCUCAGUUAAAUGAUUAAUAUACAGCUUUGUUAUUAUUUAUAUAAAUAAAAAGGUGUACAUCCACAUAAGCCACGUUGAGAAUUUUAGCCCCUUUUGUUUUGUGACACACACCAUCUCCAUAUGUAUAUGCCUAAUGCUUUGAAUGUCAAAAUGAGGUUGGAGCUGAAUAUGUUUAAGCAGUCUGCUUACUGUGCUGAAAUGCUUUUUUGCAGGUCUGGGCAAUCACUGACAGUCUGCAGUCCGCCAAUUUGCUGUAUAAUAGAAACAAUUCAGCCCUCAUAUAUGCUUGAAGUGCAGGGUGACAAAGUUAGGAGGCAAAGUUAGUAGUAACUUUUGUAUUCCGUCAAGCUCUGCAGCUGUGCCAGGCCCCAUUGUCAAUAAUCUGACAGUACACCUUGGAGGUGUGGUUCUGAUAUUGUUAGUAAGACCGCACAUGAUUUGGUGUACAAUUACUCUUCCAAGGCUAUACUAAUAGAUAAUCCUGGUCAUUCUCUAAUUUUUCCUAUCGUGGAUCACCCAGUACAAAGUGACGGUAAUGAGGAUAUUUGUCGGAACCGAAAAAAGUUGUAGUGCUUCAUCCUGGCUACCAAGAGAGAAUGGGCUGAAAAGGCAUUGGUUGCAGAUGAAGGAAAAUAAAAAAUCAUUGAUUUAUUCCUAUGGUCGGUAGCGCUAUGUACGCCGGAUUGGCCAAGUGCAGACCUGGAUUGUAGAAUUGCUUGCUUCAGUUGAGGCUUUUGACUGUCCUUUGCGGUUCACAAAUAGAUUGUAGGAUGUUUUGAUUGAUCUGUGAGAUGUGUUACCCAGUGGUGAAGGUUUUUCACAUUUGUUCAGGCUGAGUUCAAUUUGUUUUUGUGCCAGAAACGGAACAGGUAGUGCUCUAACCUCAGCAGCAUAUGGUCUAAAUUUCAUACUUAGGGUCAUUCAAAUAUCUGGAAUAUUAGUCCUGAGUCAAGACCAGCACAAUGGAAUGAACUUUACAACAUUUAGUUAGCAUAUUAUAUAUUUUCCGAGGGAAAAUGGCAGGCGCUCUGCCUUUGUUAUAGAUUAUGAAUGUACAAGAGGAGAACACAAUGGAGAAAGAGAGGGAGGAAGCAAAGGAAAACGAAGAAGCAGUCACCCCAGGCGCUGCCUGUACAUGGAUGUUCAGCUAAGGUUCUACUACAUUCAGCCAGAUGAGCUGCAGAUCAUUGACAACACCACCACCAACAGAGACUGGGCAUGAGGCCGUGUUUGUGAAGAUACCUCUGUUCCUUUCGUUCCAGAUGUGCCAAGCAAAAUAUGCCCCUGUAACAGCCGUGUUCUUUGGCCCUCCAGCAAGGUGCGGCCACCACUUGCCAAUGGAGUUGAAGGAUGUGAUGUUUACUUGUUGGAUAGCUGGAUUUGAAGCGCCAAGUUUGAACCACAUUUCAGCGAUGAAAGGGCAUUGACAAAAGAGGGUGAGCUGCAGAUUCGAUAAUCUGAUCGCAUAGGGCGCAUUUGUCGUCAUGUUGGCUGCCCCGGUCCACGAUUCAAAGAUCCACGAAGGAAUCGAUCUCGUCAGAAGAGUUGAUACGCUGAAGGCCCUUCAUCCAUCUGUCAUCCGAGAGGGCAGCUGCAACCGUCAGGCUCUUCCUUCUUCGUCAGAUUGAAAAGCUUUGGAGCAAGGUCUAUCAGAGCAGAGCCAAAAAGGCGUAAGCUUUCCAUCGCCCAGCGAAACAGUGGUGGAUGCACGAAACAAGCUCAAAUCACCCGCAGAGCAGGCCAGUGGGAAGCAAGUCCAUGGUCGGGAUGGGUUCUUCCAGGCAGUCCAAGGUCAUCAUGGGUUCUCAUCCUGCUCUUUUGGCAUUUAUGACUGGUUGUUGCUCUACCCAAGGUUUCAUCCAAACCAUUGAACUUGACAGUAAAACUCUAUCCAAAAUUCUGAACAAGUAAUUCUCAUGCUCUUCCUUAGGUGUAUAAGAGUGUUGAUGAUGUGGCUUAGAGGAGGCCUCGACUUGCACCAAAUAUAUGCUCAUAUGCAACUACAGCCUAUGCAGGCGAAUCAUGCGCUUGUGCCGAGCUGAUCCAAGCAUGAAAAGCAGGUGAAUGAGAAGCUGCACAACCCGCACACUUAAACGCCUAGGUGAAGCAUCAAAAUUCAAUAUAACUAGUUCUGGACAUGGACAAGGGCUUCAUUUGAUCUUUUGUUGCUCUCAAGCCAUAUUUUCCCUGUGUGUCUCUUUGUGCAGUGGUUUUUACAGAGGAAUUAGUCCAGGUGCUACUGGUUCAUUUGCUACAGGUGCAACAUAUCUUGAAUCAACUAAGACAUGGAUGGAGCAUGCUAAUCCUAAUCUAAGAGGUCAUUGGUCUCACUUUAUUGCUGCAGGAAUUGGCAUUGCAAUCAUUUUCCUCUGAUCUUCCUAUUUGCUUGCUCCGCGGGGCAAAACUCGGGACCAAUGGGUUGUCAAGUGAGACAAAUCCAAGAGAGCGAGGAAAAACUGAAAGGAGAAGAAGUGCAUGGGUAUGCUUUUAGUCGAGACAGGCGAAAUCAAAGUGCAUUGGAAAGCAAGUUUAAGGCGAUGCUGGGCAUUAAACUAGCUUGACCAAUAUGAUGGUUACUUUCAAAUAUCCUAGCUCCAUGAAAAUCAGAAUAUAACUGGUGAUGAGACUCGGCAGAUGUUCAAUGCCUGAAACACCAAAUGUUCCGAGCAGAGUCACGACAGUAGAGCUACAUUGGUCUGGAUGAACAUCCAUGAAAGAACAGGCGUGCUAGACACCAAAUGUUCCGAGCAGAGUCACGACAGUAGAGCUACAUUGGUCUGGAUGAACAUCCAUGAAAGAACAGGCGUGCUAGACAAGGAAGACGGCGAACGAUGCAAGUAGAGCUACCAUAGUAGAGACGAAGACGCCGGAGAUGCUCGGCGUGGAGACGGAGCUGCCGGAGAGCUUCAGCUCGGGGUUGCCUUCAGCCCACACGGCAACACUGCUGCUCAACGUUGGCACCGUGCCUUCGAGCUUGUUGUCGCCUUGUCGGCAACAUCGAGAACGCGCAGAGACGGCAGCCGCGCCACCGACUCCGGGAUCUCUCCUCGGAGGUUAUUGCCUGACAUGCUGAUCACUUGAAGCCAAAGCAGUGAGCCGAACGCCGAGUUCAAGCUGCCGUUGAGCCCGAGCCGGGACAGGUUGAUACCGGUGACUCUGCGUUGGCUGUCGCAGUGCACUCCAAUCCAGCCGGCACACGCGUCGUUCCUCAGCCAGCUCCGGGCGAUGAUCAGCGGGAAGGCCAGCGCGCCAGCGAUGGAUAGAAGAGCCGUCACCUCCGGAUCGCACGGUCCCCGGUCGAGGCGGCAGAAACUUCCUACGGCCGCCGCUUCCGCAAGGUCGGUGACCACAUACUUGCCGAACUCCGGCAGCGGCCCCUGCAGCAGGUUUCCAGCCAGGUUGACGGCGGUGAUCCUCGAGAGCUGGGGAAGCGAUGCAGGAACCACGCCGGUGAUUUUGUUGUGGUCCAAGGAGAGGAGGCCCAGCCACGCGAAGUCGGUGAAGUCGGGCAGCUCGCCGGAGAACUCAUUGUGGCUGAGCUUGAGGUGCUGAAUUGAUGACGCAACGCCGGAGAUGAAGCUUAUCGGCCCGCUGAAUAGAUUUUUGCUGAGGUCAAGCUUUGUGAUCACGCCGCCUCUCAUGUCCGGCGGUGUUCCGACCAUUCGAUUGCCGGCGAAGCAAACGGCGUCCAGUGAUGGGAAGGGGAAGCCGGCGGUGGUGUUGGUGAAAAUGACAUCCAAUGAGCCGACGAUGCCCGCGUUGCUAGCUUCGAGGACGUGGAGCGACCUCAGCGAACGGCGAUCAUCAGGCAGUGUCCAUGCACUGAUGGGGUUGUCGGUCAGGUUGAACACCUGAAGGAGCGGCAUGCCGCUGAAGAAUGUCUCCGGCAUGCUCGUGAAGAGGUUGCCGUCAAGCCAAAGGUAUGUCAGCUGAGGCAGCAGCAAGAUUGGAAGGCGGCCGGAGACCUUGUUGUUGCCGAGGUCGAGAUCUUCGAGGGCCGAGAGGGAGCCAUUGGCCGCGUCGGGCACCGAGCCGGCGAGCCCUUUGGCUCUCACGGAAAUGCCGGUCACCCUGCCGAGCUCGCACCGGACCCCCGCCCAUCCGCCGUCGCAAGGGUCGGUCCCGGCCUUCCAGCCGAGCGUGCCGUCAGCCCCCGUCGCCGCCGCCAGAAGAUGCAUGUAUGCCGCAUCCUCUGAACUGGCCACGGCCGCACAUCGGUGUCCAGCCGCGAGGAGGAGCAGAAAGAAGAAGAGGACCUUCAUCCUGAGGAUUUGCAUGAGAAGAUCGAGCCUUGGUCGCGGCAGAGAAGGAGGAGCGAGGGCCGAGCAAUGGCGGUGAAGGAGAAGCAGAGCAUCGGCACUCAAGGAGAAGCAGAGCAUAGACAGUGGAGGAAGGAGAAGCAGAGCAUCGGCAGUGGAGGAGGGCGAGUUUUUCUGUCUAGAUUUGGGCUGGUGGGGAUGGGUUUGACGGGAAUAACUAUACUUUUUAAAGGAUUGGUAUCCGGAUGGCCUAGCCAGGGUUAAUUCAACCCUAAACGAUUUUUUUGGCAUUAAAAGAUUACACAGAAAGGGCUAUAAAAUCA